rnacentral:misc_RNA from 1 species
GGAAGAAAAUAUACUUCAUAAAUUUCCAACAAGGACAAUUAGUUAUUUUAUUUUCUUAUGAUAUCCUGUCAUGCUGAAUCAUGUGUUGAACUGCAAAAAAUGUUGGAAAUUUAUUGUUUGCUCAUUUUUUGUUUUAUUUUUCAAAGAUCAGCAUGUCCAGUUGGUUUCUAUGGACACAAUUGCAACAGUAACUGUAACGAGAAUUGCGUUGAAGGUGCAUGUAGACAUGAGAAUGGAAAAUGCACUAAAGGCUGUACUGCGGGAUGGAAAGGAAAACGAUGUGAAAAACAAUGUAAUGAUGGUACAUAUGGACAUAAUUGUUCAAUGAACUGCAGCGGAAACUGUAAGAAUGAUGUUCCAUGUAAGAAAGAUGAUGGCUUUUGUCCAAAUGGGUGUGAUAUAGGAUUUAGAGGGGACAGCUGCGAUCAGCGCUGCGGACUUGGUCAGUACGGCACAAACUGUUCGAGAAAAUGUAGUGAAAAUUGUAAAAAUGAAUGCGACCAUAUAAACGGAUAUUGUCGGUGUAAGGCAGGAUGGAUGGGACAAACGUGUGAGCAUGAGUGUAUAGACGGUACCUAUGGCGUUUACUGCCGGAUGCGCUGUAACGGAAAUUGCAAGAACGGUGAAAUAUGUGAGAAGGUUCACGGUUCUUGUCCAAAUGGCUGUAAACCAGGGUACUACGGGAAACUGUGUUUACAUAGGUGCAGAACAAGUUAUUAUGGUAUUAACUGUACUAGCAAAUGCAGUGAACACUGUAAAGGUGGAUACGCAGCGUGCAGCAAAGAGAACGGAAAUUGCAGAUUAGGUUGUAAUGCAGGAUGGAACGGACAAAAAUGCGAUCAAGAAUGUGAUAGAGGAUGGUUUGGUCAAGGAUGCCAGUACAAGUGCUCUGAGAAUUGUAAAGAUGAUGAUAUUUGUGAUACAGUAAAUGGCGAGUGUCCUCGUGGCUGCAAACCAGGUUAUACAGGGAAAACAUGUGCACAAAAUUGCACAGCCGGUUUUUAUGGCGACAAGUGCAGUCAUAAUUGCAGUGGUCAUUGUAAAGAUGGUUCUAUAUUGUGUAGUAGCAUUGACGGACAUUGUCUUGGGGGCUGUGAAGCAGGCUGGAAUGGAGAAAAAUGUGACGCAGAAUGCAAGACCGGUUUCUUUGGUCCCAUGUGCAGUCAUAAUUGUAGUAGUCAUUGUGAAGGUGGUUCUAAAAUGUGUGCUAGCACUGACGGACAUUGUCUUGGGGGCUGUGAAGCAGGCUGGAAGGGAGCAAAAUGUGAUGCAGAAGCACACAGCAGUGAAGGAUACUGCAAACAAAGAAGUCCAGUUGUGAACAUUUGCAAUUACCAUGAUUCAAGGUACAGAAAUGUCUACAUUGAUACAGUUACUGUUCCGAAGUUUCAGAAGAGCCAGUGUGUUUGUACCAUAGAACCUUCCAAUCGUGCUUUUAACCUCACAUUUGUUGCAUAUGGACAACACAUCACAAAGAAUAUGCAGUUAAAUAUAAACGAUCUUGUACUAAAUAUAACAUCUGGUAACGGAAGUACACAUAUCAUCGGCGGGUCAAGGCUUUACUUUUCUACGAGUGAAAAUUAUAAAAUGGGAGGAACCUGUUUUAAUGUUUACACCGAAAAUGGAAGUCCUUUUAGAAUACUUUGUCAGAAACGUACAAGAACAAUUACUACAGAACUUACUUCUGACAUUGUAACCUCAAUAGACGGCAUAUCUACAUAUUCACAAGACAGCUCAAAUGAUGGACGCAAUUCAGCUUCAAAAAUUACAGAAUUUACAGUUCCUACAGUGACUGUUGUUUUACUGAUUGUAACAGUAGCAGUGAUACUUCUCGUUUAUAUGAAACGACGUCGGCGAGCAAAGGAAACCAACUUGCAUAACCAAGAAAUGCACCAUAUUCAAUCACUAUCCGGGCAGGUUAUGGAACAAAAUCAAGCAGAGGAGAACAAUCCUAAUACCGAAGAGCGUGAUAUCGACAUGACAUUCACAAAUCAAACUGGUUUACAGACAGCUGAACAGGGUUACAUACGAACGAUAUCUGAGCAGCUAGAGGGACAAGUGAACCGAAACUAUGGCGGAGAGCGCGAUCUAGAAAUCUCAUCACAAGAAUAUGAAAGACUAAACAUAUACGUAAAUGAUGCAGGAGACAUCUACCAGCAACUUAAUGCUGACCAAACUGGCAAGGCUCGUUUAAAGAAUAAUACUGGUAAAGAGAACAUUUAUGAAAACAGACCAGUCGUCAAAAGUGACUGUUGUUCCAAUAUAACCAAGCAAACUUAUGCUGUAUGUGACGAAUGAAAUCUCACAAGAUUAUGCAUAUAACGAUGUUGCCUAACACUUUCUUUAACACUUUCUUUUAAGCAAAAAAUAUUCUUGUGCUUGAACGUCUCUUAGUGUGAUUGUUACGUGUAACCAUAUCGGCAAGAGUGUUUGUGAUAAAAUCUGUUUAUAACUUAUUAGUAUAUCGAAAUUGAUAAAAGAUACAAAAAAUGUCAUAGCAUAAAAGUUUUAAAUUGUCUGUAAAAAGUGCUAAUCUUUUAAUAAGAAUUAAAAAAGGAGUCAUAAAAAGUAUUCAUGAGAAUAUAACUACAGUAUCUUUGUACAAAAGCAUGCAGUUCAUUACAGCUAGGCACAUUUUUAAUGCAGGUAAAUGAAUUAAACAGUGAUUGGAAGUUUACAAUUUGAAUCCAAAGAAUGCUAGUGAAAUACUCUAGGUGUGAUUUAUAAUCAUAUUUUAUACAAUGUUAACUGUGGGACACAAAAGUGUCAUAUAGUGGCAAAUCAUGUAAAUCUCGUGUUACUAAUUGAUAUUUACUACAGUAUAAUUUCAAAAUACUGUAAAUAUCUUUAACGGAGGGAGGGCGGGAAGGGCCUACAAGUAUGUAUUUUAAGACAGUGACUAAUUUUCUCAAUAUAUAGCGCAAAUAAUCACGAGGAAAGUAUUGUGUUUAAUUCCCGCUAAGACGAUGUAUCUCGUUUGGGGACUGCAACUGGAAAUUGUUUCUGCUUUAAUUUGUACACUGCAUAUUAUAACGUAUGUAUGACCUUUAUUAUUACUUUCACUGCACUUUUCAAGGUUGUUUUCCUUGCAAUCUGAAUUUCAAUAACUUCGUUACCCUUUGACUAAUUAUUUUAAAAACCACUUAUUUACAGAAAAAAAAACUAAUUUGUACCUUUAAGCUUUUUUUUUCAUUUUCUAAGAAACUGUAGGUUUUAUUCCUGUGAUCAGAAACUAGGAGUAGUGUUCAUGAAAAGAAUGAACAUGCAACUGCUUUCAGUAGCAUUACUUUAACAAUUCAAGAUUUAGUUCAGAAAUAUUACAUUCUUGCUUCUGAUGCAAACUAGACCAACUACCAAAUUGAAGCGAAUUGCAAAACAGGUUUUACUUUGUAUACAAGCUUCUUCUGGUGUUGAUUGAUCAAUACCAUGAAAAAACUAUUAAACUGAGUACCCAUUUGUUUAAGAAAUAAGGUUGAUUAAUUAUUAUAAAUGCAUACUUAUUUUAGGUCAUUAUAUACUGCUUAUGCGUUUUGUUUUAUGUCAAAGUUCUUUUUCUUUUUUGAAAUUUUAUUGCAUGUAAAGGUGUAAGUGCAUAGUCUGGUUGGCAGCUUAGUGUAACUCACAUUCCACCCACAUCAAAGGCGCUCAGUGAGAGACAAAAAUAGUUCAAUCAAAAAGUGGUUGAUCUGCAGAACAUUCAUGAGAAAAAACAACUUCAUAAAAAAGCUGACAUUAUGUGGAAUUACUGGAAUGGAACAAGACGAGAAUGAUGAACCAAUGUUGACAAUAGUAAUUAAGA